rnacentral:lncRNA from 1 species
AGGUAUUAGGCACCCAAAGCAUCCUAGGUACUCCUAGGGAGCCCUUUUCACAUUUGUUGCAAAGGUUGUUUUUUUUUUUUGAAAAUUUAUUUGUGCAAACAUGAUUGAAGGGAUAAGAAAAUCGUGUAUGUUUAUCUAAUGUACUACUUACUAGAAGAAGGGUCAAAAGAAAAUGACUCGCAAGGAUGUCGCAUCCACUGCAUACGUAUCUCAU